rnacentral:lncRNA from 1 species
GGGAGGUUGAUGAUUGCUUUUUAUUACAGCUGGAGGGGACAACGUGCGGCACAAAGUUUUAAAUUAUGUUUGUGACCCAGGAACUCACCCUUCGCUCCGUGGAAGAAUGAGUCCUGCACUCUCGUGUACCUGAGGUCACGGCAUCUCUUUCCUCUGAGCGCGUCAUCCUCAGUUCCAGGCAACAGCUCUCUCGGUCAGGCAGGUUAAAGCCAAGCCUGUGUCUCAAACCGCUGAGGUCCCAGCCCACGGCCUGAACCACUGCCAAGACGUCUGUGCAUUUGUUCUGGUUCUGUUCCACACUCUGCCAAAAAAGGGCCACACAGCUGGAACCUGAGCUCGGCUCCUACUGCGGUGUGGGAAGAAACUGGCACAGAAGAGAAACGCACAGCAGAA